UGCUGGUCUUUGUCCAUAAAAAAAUCAUUCAAGUUUUGUGUCUCCAGUCAUGCCUGAUGCCUUGGUUGAGAAGGAGAACAGGAUGACCCGAUAAAUCGUCUUCAAACAUUGUUUUCUGCCCAACUCGAUUCAAUCAAGCUCCUCGGUAGAACUUCCAACCCUAACCCAUUCAUUGCUGACUGAAGAGUCUGGAAUGAGCAAGUUGGCUUAUAUACCUCUCUCCAUGUGCUGUACAAGUGCUACCUGGAUUUCAUAAAUUUGGUGUUUGUGUAUGUCGGGGAGGGGGGCAGU